GUCAUAAUUAGCGGAGUUCACAGCUUUCAUGCCCUGUGCGUUCAAGUGUAUCGCUUGAGUGCUCAGGCGCUAACAGCCAAGCUGUACAGUACACAGUGCCCUCUUCGUGUUCGCAGGCCCAGUGCUUCGAAGCCAACCGCAAUCUAAUCCUGCAGCCUCGUGGUUAUCGGUAAUUAGUUAGCUGUCAAAUUAGAGAUGUCAAAUUAAAAUGAAAGUAGACUUUAUUUAAUUCUUAAAAUGAAGUUGUUGCAAAGGCCAGGGUCCUCCUGCAAAAGUAAACGCAUAGGGAAUAUAUUAAUUUUAAAAUCAUCAACUUUUAAAUAUAAUUAUUGAAUAGCCAGAACUGUGUGGAUUGUCGUGAAGAGUGCACACACACGGCGCAGUAGCAGCAUAGUUAAGACAUUAGGCACCGUUUGACAAUCAACAAACUAGGCCCACAUACAUUGGCCUAUUUGUAACGACUUACUACCGUGCAUACGGCGAGAAUGUGUGAUUAUUUUAGCCGUGAUCAUUGUGCAACCAGGACUGAACGGGCACGACAGCGAUUGAGCCCAAAAACACUGGUGGCCAACCUGUGAGCGCCCGAUCCGGCAGAGGCAGCGUGACUGCGAGGGGGAGACAGAGAAGCGAAAAAAAACCAAAAACAUUGCUGCCUUCUACAGCUUGUGGAGUACACGCGGGUGCGUUUUGGGGAAAGGAACUUGAAAACUCCCGUUACUGGGGGUACGAAAGACAACUUAAGGCAGAAUUAAGUUGGUUUUUACGUCCAGGUUGAAAGAAAAGAGAGAGAGAGAUCGAGAGAUACUAACGUGGUUAACUCGGUACACGCGAGAGGCAGAGCUGCCACGAAUAGAAACUCGGCAGCAGCAGCAGCAGCACGAGCCUGGUCAGGGUAGCACCGCGUGCUCCCCUCUCACUGGACUUCUACCUUACCCCCCUAAGUCUGGCUCGGUGGACCCGUUUUAAACUCGUUUUUACCAGUUGGAUUCAAACCACAGACCGAAGACGGGACUUAACGACGUUAUUCGCGAAGGAGAGAAAUGCCAACGGCGGUGACAAAGAAGAGAUUCAUGGCCCUGAGGGAAUUCGUACUGGCAACAUCCUUUCCCACGCACUGGACUGUCGAGGCGACAUACAAAAAUCCAAUGGGAAUCUUUGUCCAGGCCAUUACCAGUUCUGGCGUAAACACUGUUAUACAAGAGCAUUGACAGUCAGACCACGGCGCUUUAUGUGCACUUAAAGAUGCCGAAAAGUGCUUGCCAUUAGGAGUGCUGCAUGGUGUCUGUAUCAGAGACACUUCGGAAACACUGCGUCAGGUCAUUUCAAAAGCAUUAAAACAAUAACGACAUUUUCCGACGGAGGACAACAGAGAGCUGGAAUAUGAGGUGUUCCAUGGCAACUGAGUCACAGUGGCGCAGUUUGCCGUUGGCAUGUGCAACGAAAUGACACCACUGGCUAACGGUGUUGAUUGGCCCGGCUACAGCUAAUAAUGCAGCAACUGAAGACACAUCUAGAAGGGUGCAGGGGGAACACAGCCGAGGAUCGACCCGCAAAGUACCCAACUUGCAGUCCCCAUGCACCCUCUGAUGUGGCAGAUGGAUGGGGAUAUGCAGGAAGCGGGGAUCUUUGGCGGGGAUGGGCUUGGAUGACAGGCCCUUUCUGCCUCAGAAGGGCCGUGGUGGCCCUGGCUUCCAGCAGCCCCUGUGUCCCCCCCUGACAGGGCCCUGAUGCCUUCUGAGAGCAUUGUGUUGACAGCCCGUCAGGGGUUCACGACGCAAAGCUCAGUAAAAAAAGGACCAGACCAGACAAAGGGAGGGAGGGCAGUGCCCUGGACAUUUUAUCAAAUAAUGUAUUAAAAAGGUAUGGAUUUAGAUGAUUACUAGUUUAGUAUUCCAUUUAAUUUGAACAUGUUAUCCAUUACCGAGUUGAAUCAUGUUUCUGUAUGUGACAACCAGAAUAUCUACCUACUAUGCUGCCUGCUAUGAUUAUUGCUUUUGGUAUUACAAUUUUAUAUAUGGGAUAACAUAUACCAAUAUUGUUGUCUUAGUGUUGUGAAGACUGAUAUAUCAGAAUGGUAUUGGUGCAUCCCUAAAGCCAUGAUGUCAAUUUCUCCCAAUAGAAUUCCGUCAGACUGCAGCUUGUAUGAGCCUACAUGUGACAUGAUGUGAGUUGGUUGAAUGCAGCUAUACAGGUAAAUGUCCACUGUUUCCCAAACCGCAAAACAGAGGCCGGAAAUGGAGAGGUUUUUUAUUUUAUUUCCUAGAAUGCCUUGACAGCUGAUGUGUUUCAAAAAUCUUCGAUUCGAUUAAAGCCAAAAUGACACAAGUGAAGGCAAGUGACUCUUUUAUAGUAAAUUACUA
ensembl:lncRNA